UACGAAGGGGGCUAGCGUUGCUCGGAAUCACUGGGCGUAAAGCGCACGUAGGCGGCUUGUUAAGUCAGGGGUGAAAUCCUGGAGCUCAACUCCAGAACUGCCUUUGAUACUGGCGAGCUUGAGUUCGGGAGAGGUGAGUGGAACUGAGAGUGUAGAGGUGAAAUUCGUAGAUAUUCGCAAGAACACCAGUGGCGAAGGCGGCUCACUGGCCCGAUACUGACGCUGAGGUGCGAAAGCGUGGGGAGCAAACAGG
rnacentral:rRNA from 1 species